UUGGAACAACUCCCAGGCAAAAGAUUUGUUCUGACAGCUGUGACACAAGAUGUUUCACUUAAAUCUGAUUUCUAUAUGUUCCAAGUCAAGGCAGUAGAACACCUAGAAAGUGAAGAGCCCCUUGCCCCCCUGCCAAUACUAAACACAACCACAAUAUCACCGACUUCUGAAUCAAAACAGAAAAAUACUGUUAGCACACCAGCAACUUCACAACAUGGUGUCGACAAAGAUCAACCAUCACAUACAAAAGAUGGAAAGUCAUUAGAUGAGACAUCUACUUCGCAAAGCAGAAAGAGACAACAAAGCGAGGACAAAUUGUCACCUCCUGAUCAUAAAAAAAGCCAUGUCGCCAAGCAACUAUUCACCUCCGGAAAUGACGACAAAGCUGACGCUUAUCAAAAGAAAACUCCAGAUAUGGAACCCAAGUGAAGAAAUGGUCCCAAGUACCAGAUCGUAAGACAAAUCGAACUAUGCUUUCAACAUGGCAGCUCCCAAGACUGUAAAAGCAAUGUAUUUAGUAUUGUAAAUAUAUGCGUAUCUC